ACAGUGACAGAGUUAGGGAGGGAGUGACAGAGUUAAGAAGGGAGUGACUAGUGACAGAGAGAGGGAUAAGGGUGACUAGUGACAGUCACCCCCUCCCUCACUCUGUCACUAGUCACUACCUCCCUCUGUCACUAGUCACUCCCUCCCUCUGUCACCACUAGUCAUCCCCUCACUCUGUCACCAGUCAUCCCCUCACUCUGUCACUAGUCACCUCUUCCCUCCCUCACUUUGCCACUAGUCAUCUCUCCCCUCCCUCCCCCACUCUGCCACUAGU